UGGAGGGAUAGCGAAGUGGCCAAACGCAGCGGACUGUAAAUCCGUUCCUUCGGGUUCGUAGGUUCAAAUCCUUCUCCCUCCAUC
rnacentral:tRNA from 1 species